rnacentral:rRNA from 1 species
AUUGAACGCUGGCGGCAGGCCUAACACAUGCAAGUCGAACGAGUGGCGGACGGGUGAGUAAUGUCUGGGAAACUGCCUGAUGGAGGGGGAUAACUACUGGAAACGGUAGCUAAUACCGCAUACCAUCAAAUGUGCCCAGAUGGGAUUAGCUAGUUGGUGGGGUAACGGCUCACCAAGGCGACGCUCCCUAGCUGGUCUGAGAGGAUGACCGGCCCCACGGGAACUUAGACACUGUCCAGACUCUUAGGGGAGGCAGCAGGGGGGAAUAUUGCACAAUGGGCGAAAGCCUGAGGCGGCCAUGUCGCGUGUAUGAAGAAGGCCUUCGGGUUGUAAGGUACUUUCAGCGGGGGGGCUUAACCCGCAGAAGAAGCACCGGCUAACUCGGGGCCAGCCGCAGCGGUAAUA